CCUGCAUGAAGUCGGAAUUGCUAGUAAUCGCGGAUCAGCAUGCCGCGGUGAAUACGUUCUCGGGCCUUGUACACACCGCCCGUCACACCAUGGGAGUCGGUAACACCCGAAGUCUGUAGCCUGACGCAAGAGGGCGCAGCCGAAGGUGGGAUUGAUGACUGGGGUGAAGUCGUAACAAGGUACC
rnacentral:rRNA from 1 species